rnacentral:rRNA from 1 species
UACAGAGGUCCCGAGCGUUGUUCGGAUUCAUUGGGCGUAAAGGGUGCGUAGGCGGUAGGGUAAGUUGGAUGUGAAAUGCCGGAGCUCAACUCCGGAACUGCAUUCAAUACUGCUCUGCUAGAGUACUGGAGGGGAGAUUGGAAUUCACGGUGUAGCAGUGAAAUGCGUAGAUAUCGUGAGGAAGACCAGUGGCGAAGGCGAAUCUCUGGACAGUAACUGACGCUGAGGCACGAAGGCUAGGGGAGCAAACGGG